rnacentral:rRNA from 1 species
ACUACGGGUGGCAGCAGUGGGGAAUAAUGGGCAAUGGGCGCAAGCCUGAUCCAGCAACGCCGCGUGAAGGAAGAAGGCUUUCGGGUUGUAAACUUCUUUUCUCAGGGACGAAGCAAGUGACGGUACCUGAGGAAUAAGCCACGGCUAACUACGUGCCAGCAGCCGCGGUAAUACGUAGGUGGCAAGCGUUAUCCGGAUUUACCGGGUGUAAAGGGCGUGUAGGCGGGGUCGCAAGUCAGAUGUGAAAACCACGGGCUCAACCUGUGGCCUGCAUUUGAAACUGUGUUUCUUGAGUACUGGAGAGGCAGACGGAAUUCUCAGUGUAGCGGUGAAAUGCGUAGAUAUUAGGAGGAACACCAGUGGCGAAGGCGGUCUGCUGGACAGCAACUGACGCUGAGGCGCGAAGGCGUGGGGAGCAAACAGGAUUAGAUACCCGAGUAGUC